rnacentral:rRNA from 1 species
UGAGGAAUAUUGGUCAAUGGGCGCAAGCCUGAACCAGCCAUCCCGCGUGCAGGAAGACGGCGCUAUGCGUUGUAAACUGCUUUUCCAGGGAGAGAAACUUGCGCACGUGUUGCGCAAUUGACGGUACCCUGGGAAUAAGCAUCGGCUAACUCCGUGCCAGCAGCCGCGGUAAUACGGAGGAUGCGAGCGUUAUCCGGAUUCAUUGGGUUUAAAGGGUGCGUAGGCGGACUAUUAAGUCAGUGGUGAAAGCCUGCAGCUUAACUGCAGAACUGCCAUUGAUACUGAUAGUCUUGAGUUUGGUUAAGGUAGGCGGAAUGUGUAAUGUAGCGGUGAAAUGCUUAGAUAUUACACAGAACACCAAUUGUGUAGGCAGCUUACUGAGCCGACACUGACGCUGAGGCACGAAAGCGUGGGGAUCGAACAG